rnacentral:lncRNA from 1 species
GAAUCUUUGACUAGGUUGCUGAAGAAGAGCUUUGAUACUGGACAAAUUGGGGGUUCUUCUCAUCCUCGAGGUGCUCCUUUGGUUUCUCACCUUAUGUACGCGGAUAAUCUUGUCAUAUUCACUAAUGGGUGUAAAAAGUCGAUGAAAGGAUCAAUGGAGGUGUUAAAUAUGUAUGAAGAUUGGUCUAGGUAGCUUAUUAACAAAGAAAAGUCAGC